GACGUAGGGGGCCAGCGUUGUUCGGAAUUACUGGGUGUAAAGGGUUCGUAGGCGGUGCGGCAAGUCGGGAGUGAAAUCUCUGGGCUUAACCCGGGAACUGCGUCCGAUACUGGAAGGCUUGAAUCCGGGAGAGGGAUGCGGAAUUCCAGGUGUAGCGGUGAAAUGCGUAGAUAUCUGGAGGAACACCGGUGGCGAAGGCGGGUCUCUGGGCCGUAACUGACGCUGAGGAGCGAAAGCAUGGGGAGCGAACAGG
rnacentral:rRNA from 1 species